rnacentral:tRNA from 1 species
CCCUAGGUGGCUCAGUGGAUGGAGCGUCAGCUUUUGGACUGAAGGGUCCCAGGUUCGAUUCUGGCCAAGGGC